rnacentral:rRNA from 1 species
ACCACCACCGGCGAACCAGUACGAGCGGAAACGCCGCUCGCGGCGCGCGGCCCGGGGGACGACCCGGGGACGCGCGUCCCGGCGAGCUCUGAACAACCCUCUGGGCGCGGCGAGCGCCAAGGAAUCGAAGCGGAAAGGGCGGCCGCCCCGCCCGGUGCGGGCACGCGCCGAAAGGGGAUGCGGCACCGCGGUGGGGGAUCCGCCGCCCGUCUGUGAAGUCUCUUAGACGACUCUCGGCAACGGAUAUCUCGGCUCUCGCAUCGAUGAAGAACGUAGCGAAAUGCGAUACUUGGUGUGAAUUGCAGAAUCCCGUGAACCAUCGAGUCUUUGAACGCAAGUUGCGCCCGAGGCGAGGCCACUCGGCCGAGGGCACGCCUGCCUGGGCGUCACGCCACCCGUCGCCCCCCGCCAGCGGCAUUCCCAUAUGCCCGGCCGGGGAGCGGAGACUGGCCGUCCGUGCCCGAGGGAUCGGCGCGCGGUCGGCAGAAAAGGAAGGCACCGUGCGGCGCGACACGGCGUGUGGGGGGCUGAGAGGCGAUCCGUCGCCGAUCGUACGUCGCGCCCGCAUUCCGCCGCGCGGUGCCGCCCGUGGGACCAGACUUCGCCAGCAGCCGCGGGCGCUCGGACCGCGACCCCAGG